GCAGAUGGGUUGAAGAUUGGGAUGUUAACAAAAUUAUAAUCUGCAACAGGUGUCAAAUAGCUGUCCACCAAGAAUGCUAUGGAGCAAGGAACGUUGAAGAUCUUACUUCAUGGGUGUGCAGAGCAUGUGAAACUCCUGAUAUUGAGAGGGAGUGUUGCCUUUGUCCUCUCAAAGGAGGUGCUUUAAAGCCAAGUGAUAUUGAGAUGCUGUGGGUUCACGUCACAUGUGCCUGGUUUCGACCUGAAGUUGGUUUCUUAAAUCAUGAAAAAAUGGAACCUGCCACUGGAAUCCUUAGAAUUCCAUCAACUACAUUUUUGAAGAAUUGUGUUA
rnacentral:misc_RNA from 1 species